CAGCCGCCGCGGUAAUACAGAGGGUGCGAGCGUUAAUCGGAUUUACUGGGCGUAAAGCGUGCGUAGGUGGUGGUUUAAGUCCGUUGUGAAAGCCCUGGGCUCAACCUGGGAAUUGCAGUGGAUACUGGGUCACUAGAGUGUGGUAGAGGAUAGUGGAAUUUCCGGUGUAGCAGUGAAAUGCGUAGAGAUCGGAAGGAACAUCUGUGGCGAAGGCGACUAUCUGGGCCAACACUGACACUGAGGCACGAAAGCGUGGGGAGCAAACAGGAUUAGAUACCCCUGUAGUCCCUGUCUCUUAUAA
rnacentral:rRNA from 1 species